rnacentral:rRNA from 1 species
CCCUUAGAUGUUCUGGGCCGCACGCGCGCUACACUGACGAAUGCAACGAGCUUAUAACCUUGGCCGAAAGGUCUGGGUAAUCUCCAAAUUUCGUCGUGAUGGGGAUAGAUUAUUGCAAUUAUUAAUCUUCAACGAGGAAUGCCUAGUAAGCGCAAGUCAUCAGCUUGCGUUGAUUACGUCCCUGCCCUUUGUACACACCGCCCGUCGCUCCUACCGAUUGAAUGGUCCGGUGAAGGGUUCGGACCGUGGCCUUUGGACGGUUCGCCGUCUGUUGGCUGCGGGAAGUUCGUUAAACCUUAUCAUUUAGAGGAAGGAGAAGUCGUAACA